rnacentral:misc_RNA from 1 species
AUCACAACGGAAUAUACACUGAAUUAACAUAAAUCACAAUUCACUCCAACCACGUUAUAUAAAACUUAGUUACAAUGAUACGUUAAGUAUGCGACUGUUAUAAGGGUAAAGACCGGUAAAGAUAUCUUGACUAUUCUAAGAAUACAGAAUAAAUGAGGGUAGGUGUGUCUAAGGACACGGGACUAUCGGAUUUGUUGAUGCUAAUUUUGGUUAAGGAAGUGAGGGCAGUAGACACCAUCUCCGAUUGGAUAAUAGAAAGGUUGGUGAACAAGGAAGGGUUUUAGCCACUCUCGUGAGAAAGUUGCUA